rnacentral:rRNA from 1 species
AUGAAAUGUGGUAGUUUUUGGUUAAAUACUCUAGCUAUCGCCUACACCCUGGGCUUGAUGCAGUCCUCACCGGUGAAGAAUGUCAUGUACCCCAUCUGGGCUGUCUCAUUGCUGAUGGCUGCUGGGUGCACCAACGCCGUCAAGGUCUAUGAGCUCAAUGACAACAAGCAAUGGAAGCGGAUUCUUUUCAAUAGUUCCCAGUAUGGCAUCUAUGUUGUGUUAAUCUGCUGGCUACUUUUUCCCCAUAGCAUGACCAUAGUGGGGUAUUUCCGUUAUGUGUCCCACAAGUUGUCCCACAAAUUAUCACCUUCGGACCCUUCAGAUCUGAAGUCUCCUGGAUUUAUUCUCACUAUUCUGACUUAUAUUGCUCUGAUGACGGGACUCAUGGGUAGAGAGCUCGCAUGCGUGCUGGUUGAGCUCGGCUAUUUCACGGAAAAAAGAGUUGCCAAGUUUAUGAAGAACCUGCCUGCUGCUGCUGCAGCAGCAGCUAAUGAUGGUGAUGAGUUUGAUCCUGCCAGCAUGAAAGGCUACAAGUACCCUGUUCACAUUAAUGUAUUUGGUAUUGGUGGUUACAUCACCAUCGAUCAGAUCUGGCACUGUACAGGCAGGCUCCUCAGCUCAGGUACUGAUCACUGGAAAGAGCUCAAGGACUCGUGCCUGUCUUAUGCCAUGUAUCAGCUAUUGAAGCGGCUACUACGGAAUGUCAUUCGCUGA